CUCUCUUUAGCUUUUUUCUGCUUUAUUGAAUUUGAGUUUCUUUGGAUAAACGUCAAUUCCAUUAUCCAGUCGAUCGUCCAUUUUAUGAAACUCCCUUUUUUGGAUAUCAAAGGAAGUACGUCUUUUAUUUUCCUUUCCUUAUAUAACAACUUCGAUUUUCACAGGUGAACUUUCUUGUACAGUACUUCAGUGUUUUCGUUUAACGAUAUUUAAGAAAAAUUAUGAAAAAACAUAUUCAUCUGGGCUCAAAUCAAGCAUUGCUGUUCAAUUUAUAUAGAUUUUGAUAUUUUGUCUUGAAUAUGGAAUUUCAGAUACAAUGAAGUUACCUCUUAUUUUUUAGAAAGAAAUCUAUUUCGGAGAGAAUACUCCAAAAUUGGUAAAUCUCGAAAUUAUGUUUUAAAACAGCCAGUAACUUCUAAAAAACCACACAUCUAGUGAAUUCAUGAAGAUUUAUCGCAUUGUCUGAGUAAAGUAACAACUAGCUGUUGCAGCGUUAUUCACUGCGACAUUAUGGAAAGUCGAAUUUGACGAUGAUAAUCAUUUCAUUCAAUCAGAUUUAAUUUGUCUGAAAAAAAUGAGGCUUUGAUGAUUGUUGAAGAUCAUUGAACUCGAAUUUUCCUCAAAACUGUAUGCUUUUUUUAGAUGAAUUUUCUAAGUUUAGAUAGAGAUAGAGGUCUUUGAAUUUCUGCUAUGGAAAUAUCAUCACCGGUGAUAAAACACUCUCAGAAGCACUGAUAAUCAAACUGUUUACCAAACUACCACGCUCAGAACUUGUGCUUUCUUCAACUCACUCAAUACUUUUUUUAGCUAUCCCUUUAUCACGUUCCUGACACUUGUUAUAGUAGUUUUAAUAAUAUUGAAGAUUCUCAGCAGUUUAUCAAAUGACGUGGCCUAGCACGGAUAUUAAUUCUAGAAAAAUUCCAUCACAGCUUGUCUCAUUUAUGAAGCUUAAGUGAUAAUUUAAAUGGUGUUUAACUUUAAAAAGUCUCUAUUGAGAGGUAGUAGUAUUAGUUUAGAAAAACAGACGUAUUAUACUUGUUUGAUCAAGUGAAGGAAUGAAAAAAAUUAGCCCUGUACAACAUUGUUUCAAAGUGAUCCAAAAAACAUCAGAUUAUCAGAGACCUCAUUCUCAAAUUUCAGAAUUACAUAUUUUUAUUUAUAUCAAUAUAUGAACAUCAUCAUACAUUGCACGCGUAUUUCAGUAGAAGUUUCAUGUUAAAAUUUGUUUAAAAUUUGAAAAAUUCAUAACUAGUAAUACAACUUGAACGAUAUAUAUAAUAAUUAUUACCUACUACAACUAUUCUUGACGUGGAUGGGAUUUAUAUAUGAACUGAAAAGUAUUCUGUUUGUCUCAUUGUGUACCACGUAUCAGUAUCUCCUAUUCCUGAUUAGAUACUUGUUGGAUGGAUUUUUAUAAAUAACCAUUACCAGAAAGAUUAUAUUUGUUGAAUAAUUAAUAAUAAACUGAUCCAGUAUUCAACAAGUUGUUUUGAAAAAAACUUUCAGGCCAUCUCAAUAUGAAUUAUUGAUUAAUUUACAUUUACUAACUAGAAAUAAAAAUGAAUUGUUGAUUUCUGUAAUCUCUAGAAACUAUUAUGUGACAAUUUCACUCGUUAAGCUAAGAGAUUUCUUAAGCUACGCAUCUAUUAAACAUAUACUUGUUUCCUAUGUCAACGCUAAUCUGCUUGAUAACUCGAUGAACUUAUUCUAUGGAGAAAUAUUAUUUAUGCUGACAAGGUUUGGAUCUAUUUGAUUUAGAGUGAGUUUUUCGGAAGAAAACUUUACAUAUUACUAGUAUAAUAAUAAUGUAAUAAUAAUAUAAUAACAAUGUUUAAUGUUAAUACAAAAUAUUUAAUUUAUGUAGGCACGGCAGUGUCCCCGCCAAGUCGUGCAAAAAAGCGGUAUGGCCGUAUUUGUAGAAACACGAUAUAUUUCAAAUUUUAUCGAAUGUUUACCAGUAGUUCGAGAAUAAUAACUCAAAUUUGUCAAUUUUUCCAUUCACAGACUGACCGAUCAUCAAAUCUAUGGAGUGUAGAGAAGGAGGAACAUCUCUUAUGGACGGUACGUUUAAAAUAUGGUCUGAAUUCUGUAGGGAUAAUACGUGGCGCUGAUUGUACUAUGGGAUUGAGAUCUGAAGUUAAACACUAUAUCUGAAACUAGCUUCAGAUUUUAUAAACUAACGAAAACAGAAUAUUAUGUAGGUGGUGAAAAGAAUUAAACAACGUUUGAAAAUAUUAAAAAAAUAGUAAAAAAAGAAUACAAAAAAUCAUGGUGAAAACUUGUAUUUCUGGAUGUAUAAGUGGUUCUUUAAAAGAUCGUGGAAUUCGUUCAUCUCAAAAUAUAAAACAAGCAAGUCUCUUUGGAAUACCAAAGGACGCUACGCUGCUAGAACAAUGGUCUUCUAUUUUUAACAUGACUUUAACGAAACAUCAUUGUAUCUGCGAUUAUCAUUUUAAAGAAGAAGAUUGAUUAUUCAGGUGGAAUAAUCAAAGAAUAUGAAUUGAAACGAUGGAUCCUAUUGCCAAAUGCUGUACCAGUUAACCUACAGCCAAGACAAUAUGAUAUUGAAGUAAAGUUUUAUGAAAAAUUUCAUUGACCUUCAAAGAUAUUACAAAAUUUGUACUAACUUUAAAUGUAGCUUUCAGAAAAUCAAGAAAACCUGCACUAUCAAACGGUUAAAAUAAUAAAUGACGAUAAAUCUUCAAAGAAGCCAACCAUCAAUGUGCGAAAGCCUUUUCAACAGUUGGACAAUCGUAUUAACAUUAGAAAAAAACCAGCAUCAACAUCAAUCGAAAAGAUCUCGCCUCCGCUGAUAAAAAUCCGAAAAACUGCAAGUUCUGACGAUAAAUAUCCACAAUUUAUUUCACAUAAAACAUCAUUAAAUAGUAUACCUGAUCAACCAGUAGACAAGAUGCAAAUUGCUGUGAACAAUGUAGAGGCAAGAUUUGAUGCAGAACAAGUUUUUUUAAAUGAAAUCGAUUCAAACAAUGUUAGUUAAAGCUUGAAAUAUCAACUCCUAAGAAUAUUAAGGAAUUGUUGGACUGUUUUUUGAGUGUGAUGCCUGAGUAUUGGUACUAUAUACGGUAUUAUUGUUACAUGAUUCUACUUUUUUUUUCAUAUUAGAAUGUAUGUAUUAUCUAAACCAAAUAAAUAGCUAAAUAAUAAAGUUAAUUUAACGAGA